rnacentral:misc_RNA from 1 species
GACUUUUUGCAUCCGAGCUUAGGUGUUCUGGGCCUGCUGCUAAGUUAAGGCCUCACCUGGUUUCCGGGGAGCCGGAAGCACCGCCUGAGAAGGAUCCCGUUGAACAAAUAUUAGCCCACAGACUAUGGCUUGGAUUUUUCGUUGAUCGGUUUGAGGUUGUUCGACAUGAUAGUGUUCCACAGCUUUUGCUUUUAGGGCGGUUGUUGCAAGGAACCACCAAAUUACCUUGGAAUUUUUCUUCCCACCCAGCUGCCACUGGCACAUUUUUCACCCUUAUGCUACUUGGGCUGAAGUUCUGCUCAUGCAAGUCACAGGGUAAUCUGCGAAACCUUAGGGCUGGGCUUCAGCUUCUGGAAGACAGGAUAUAUCGGGCAUCAUUGGGGUGGUUUGCUCACCAACCUGAGUGGUAUGACAUGAACAAAAACUUUGCCCUGAGUGAGGCGCAGUCUGUUACUAUGUUUGUCCAUCAUCUUUUGAAUGAGCAAUUAGAUACUCCCCAACUUGAUUCAAGAGGACGGGCACUUGAAAAUGGAAGCUCUUUGAAUGAUGUGAGAGAUCAAUACCAUCCUGUUUGGGGCCAAAUGGAGAGCUAUGCUGUUGGAAGGGAAAAGCGGAAGCAGUUGCUUCUGAUGUUGUGCCAACAUGAAGCUGACAGACUUGAUGUUUGGGCACAACCCACUGUCAAGGAAAUUACUUCACGUCUUAAAAUCAGCUCUGAUAAAUGGGUGGAUUUUGCGCGAACCGCCUUUUCUGUGGAUCCUCGGAUAGCUCUGUGUCUG